CUGUGAUUUUUGUUCCUAAUGUGAUCGUCGUGAAAUUUUGCGAUGUGAAACUGAAAUAUCGAUUCAGAUUACCAUGUGUGACUUGUUUAUGAAAUUCAUUCGUUCCUGUCACAUGAUCGGUUGAUUUGUCAUAGCCACAAUCCCAGAUGCCUGAUCGAGGCUACCUGUUGUGAAAAUGACGUAUUUCUUCUCAUAUGUUGCGUUCGUGUAACAGUUUCAACUCAAGACUACCAAUUUGUGAGUAAAAGUGACACGAGUGCGUUCGCUGCUGUCCGUUCGAGUACAACACGAAAAAGUCGAGGCUAGGGGCCUAGAUGAGUUCUUCAAAUUUGUCUUCAACAUUCUUCCAGGGUGUUGUGAAAUAUAUUUAUUUGUUUUUAUUUUGCACUUUUUCGUGGAGCAGGCAGACAUUAAAUUAUAAAAAGCAUCAUAUUUUUGGAUGUAAAAUUUCACAUACAGAAUGUUUCAUUAAAAUUGUGGAAUGCCCCAUUUAGAAACGGAUGGUUCACCUGUAUAAUUGUUAAUGAAUUAACAAUGAUAGAAGUCGACGCACACAGAGACGGUUGCUCGGUGAACGGCGAGAUUCUUUGUAUCAGAAAUACACAUUUUUAGUCCAUUCUAUCAAUAAGUCUUUACUCCCUUAAGUUGGAUUGAAACAAUCAGAUAAUGGAGAUCACUAUGAGAAAUUUCGAAUAACGGUGUAACGGCAGAUGUCUUUCUCUCCUUUUCUUUUACUCCCUACUUGGUCGGAGAACGAUGCUUGAAACUUGUUCUAUCCUUCGAGAAGCUUGAGAGCGACUUUUAGACACGGCUGAUCCACUCGAUGGCUUGGGAAUUACCUCUUCCUUUUUACUCAGGGUAUUGUCAAUCUCCUCUGUGGACGGGUAGCCACUGGUUGUUCGGGACGGGAGACUAGUGUUCUGUUUGUCGAUCCUUGGGAAUCACAUCCAAAGAGCAGUGACUGCCAGUUCUAUCGCUUGUUCUCCCCCCUUUUCUUUCUUGAAAACAUGAACCAUGUGGGUUUUUUGUCCCUUUAUUUUUGUUGUAUCUUUUAUUAUUCGCUUUUUCUCUAUUGGCGUGCGAUUGAUCCCCUCGGUCUUUGCAAUUUUCAUUUAUUUAUCUUACUCCAUUUAAGGAGGACGGAGAACCUCGGAACGGUUGAAAUAACAACCACAUGGUCAUUUGUCGUCCGAAAGUGUUAUUUACAAAUACGUUCGGAGUGACAUUUUACAGAUGUCCUAAAUGCCGUUUCUAAACAUUCUUUGUUGAAUCAAAGAGACCCAUUAGAGUAAGCAUUAAUUUAAUUGGUUUAUGAAUCUAUAAAAUUAACUAAAUUGACCUGUUAAGACAGGGCGAUAUUUUCCUUAUCUUUCAACGCGUAUAGAAUUGUUUUAUACGAAUCGCU
rnacentral:lncRNA from 1 species